rnacentral:rRNA from 1 species
CCUACGGGUGGCAGCAGUGAGGAAUAUUGGUCAAUGGGCGCGAGCCUGAACCAGCCACGCCGCGUGAAGGAUGACUGUCCUACGAGUUGUAAACUUCUUUUAUAAAGGAAUAAAGUGAGGCACGUGUGCCUUUUUGUAUGUACUUUAUGAAUAAGGAUCGGCUAACUCCGUGCCAGCAGCCGCGGUAAUACGGAGGAUCCGAGCGUUAGCCGGAUUUAUUGGGUUUAAAGGGAGCGUAGGUGGGUUGUUAAGUCAGUUGUGAAAGUUUGGGGCUCAACGGUACAAUUGCAAUUGAUACUGGCAGUCUUGAGUACAGUAGAGGUAGGCGGAAUUCGUGGUGUAGCGGUGAAAUGCUUAGAUAUCAGGAAGAACACCGGUGGCGAAGGCAGCUUACUAAACUGCCACUGACGUUGAGGCGCGAAAGUGUGGGUAGCAAACAGGAUUAGAUACCCUGGUAGUC